AUAAAUGAACUUCAUUUGAAGGUUAAGUUCCACUUUGUAUGUCAUUUUUUAUUGUCCAAUCAAAUCCUAGUAUAUAUUAAACUCCGCCUACCUAUUGUUUGCAAAUAUCCAAGCACACAUAGCAAGCAAAUCGAUCAAAGUUUGAUUUUGCAUACUUUUAUAGAAAAGCUGUAACAUGGAGGUACAAUUUGAGAGAACUAAGCUAUUCAAAAGCCAAAACAAUUAAUUGUAAAAAACAAACAUGC
rnacentral:lncRNA from 1 species